AUUGAACGCUGGCGGCAGGCCUAACACAUGCAAGUCGAGCGGAUGAAGGGAGCUUGCUCCUGGAUUCAGCGGCGGACGGGUGAGUAAUGCCUAGGAAUCUGCCUGGUAGUGGGGGAUAACGUCCGGAAACGGGCGCUAAUACCGCAUACGUCCUGAGGGAGAAAGUGGGGGAUCUUCGGACCUCACGCUAUCAGAUGAGCCUAGGUCGGAUUAGCUAGUUGGUGGGGUAAAGGCCUACCAAGGCGACGAUCCGUAACUGGUCAGAGAGGAUGAUCAGUCACACUGGAACUGAGACACGGUCCAGACUCCUACGGGAGGCAGCAGUGGGGAAUAUUGGACAAAGGGCGAAAGCCUGAUCCAGCCAUGCCGCGUGUGUGAAGAAGGUCUUCGGAUUGUAAAGCACUUUAAGUUGGGAGGAAGGGCAGUAAGUUAAUACCUUGCUGUUUUGACGUUACCAACAGAAUAAGCACCGGCUAACUUCGUG
rnacentral:rRNA from 1 species